CAGCACUCGACUGGGAUUUGUAAUAGUUCUGAUCGGUCUCGUGUUUGUAAACGUUACACGAGAUCAAAGUCUGCGUUUCGUGGCCUCUACUAUCUAAUCAUCGACGCGAACUAUCAACGUUUUAUCGAGCGAUAUAUCAAAUCUUCGGCAACAGGUAAAAAUAUCUCGCGUUGAAUAACCUGAGAUCGUCUCUUCUGCAAUCCAACUAAUUACAUUUCAAUCUUACUUUUCGAUCUGUAUAUUUUGCCUUCUUCGUAACAAGCGCAAUUGAAAAAUUACCGAAUUAUCCCGUGCAGCUUCACAGUUCAAUUGUUCACGUUUAAACCAAUCAUGUCGAUGCGUUUAAGCUUAAGAGCGAGCAUAAGUGGUACAGGAUCGUUGCGUGAAGUUAACGCUCGGUCACGUGCACGCGUACGUGAGGAAUUUUCAAAAGCGAUUUCCUCGAUGGCCACAGCCACGGGGGUGGUAAAAUUUUAUUCCGCGUAUUCGAUUAUUCCUUCGCGGGGAACCAUCGUUCGUCUGGUAGUACUAGAUCUCGCUGGACACCCUGUAUUUUACGCUUUCGAUCAACCCAGCACUCGUAUCUGUCGGAUGCAGAACGUUACGUGGAUUCCAUCUGGACGCUCAGACGAGACAUUAUUCACCCUUCAUCUAUUUUUACCGUAGCCCGCGGCCGAAGAAUUAUCGAAACCGUGAAAAAAAAGGGGCUGCGCUAUAUUCCGCGCCAAUGGUACAAUCGUAAUCGCGCGACGGCCGGAAGUGCCUCAAUUUUCGAAACGAUACCGAGCUUUGUUCCUGUUUCCUGAUUACUCAGAGGAAUACACGAUAAGGGUAUGGUAUCGUUUUCACGGAUAUGCAGAUGUCUCGAUAAAUGCAAGAUGCACGGAAUAUUUCCUGACACAUUUGAAGGGCUUGAAAUGUUCGUCGAACCACCUGCAUCGUUAACGUGUACGUGCAAAUUUUCUGAGAACUAUUGUCAGAAUUAAUGCUUAACAUUGCAAAGAUAUAUAUAUAUAUGUACAGUCAAUCCCAUAAAUAUUCGUACCCUCUAUGUCUAUUGAAAAAGUUUGACUAAAUUAAAUUAUAAUUUUGAUAUUACCAAAUGAAUUGUACGCUAUAAAUAUGUAUAUGAACAAACUUAUAGAUGUAUAUAUUUAUAUAUAUCAACAUAUUUACGCAAACAUACACUUGGAAACAUCAAACCUACCAUUUAAUUUAAACAAAUUUCUCCAAUAGACAUAGAAAAAAUUAAUUUCUUUCUUUGAAAUGACAAAAUUUGGUCUUCAAUAUUAAUCGACGGUAAUUUGUCUCCAACUUCGCUGCCAUAGGAUUGCGUACGCCAGCUGUCCGCGCGUUAAUUGCACAGACACAGGGCUGUCCGUCGGGUUGUCACCGAUCUGAGAAUCGAACAGGGACAAACCGAACGACAGGUGGAUGAAAAUUAAACGCUGUUAUUUCCUGCUCGUUCGCCUUUGUACAGGAUGGCGGCGAGUAAAUCUCUUUCAGAACGUCCCAGGCUACUUCUUAGCAGGCUGCAGCCGAUGUCAAACACAUCCGUUGAAAAAGAUAUUGAUCUAUUGACAGCACAAAUACGUUCGAUUGGGACGCGAGGCUGGGCUCCCGUACCUGUCGAGAUUGCGAUUAUCACAAAGAGACUUAUGGAUUAUCGAUAACGGGUGAGAAUGAAAAGCGGAAACGACAGGGCCACCACAAAUGGACUCGAGUGGACCCCAUGGGAUUCACCGCGGGCGUCAGGGAGCCGGCAACAUCUAAACGAUCCGCAGACAGAAUCCAGAUCGGAGUCGGCCGAGCUUCACUGUCAAUCCGUUGGCCCUCGCGCUCCUCUGUAUUGGACUGGCAAC